UACGUAGGGUGCGAGCGUUGUCCGGAAUUAUUGGGCGUAAAGAGCUCGUAGGCGGCUUGUCGCGUCGUUCGUGAAAACUUGGGGCUCAACCCCAAGCUUGCGGUCGAUACGGGCAGGCUAGAGUUCGGUAGGGGAGACUGGAAUUCCUGGUGUAGCGGUGAAAUGCGCAGAUAUCAGGAGGAACACCGGUGGCGAAGGCGGUGGUCUGGGCCGGUACUGACGCUGAGGAGCGAAAGCGUGGGGAGCGAACAGG
rnacentral:rRNA from 1 species